rnacentral:rRNA from 1 species
GUGGGGAAUAUUGGACAAUGGGCGAAAGCCUGAUCCAGCCAUGCCGCGUGUGUGAAGAAGGUCUUCGGAUUGUAAAGCACUUUAAGUUGGGGGGAAGGGCAGUAAGUUAAUACCUUGCUGUUUUGACGUUACCGACAGAAUAAGCACCGGCUAACUUCGUGCCAGCAGCCGCGGUAAUACGAAGGGUGCAAGCGUUAAUCGGAAUUACUGGGCGUAAAGCGCGCGUAGGUGGUUUUGUAAGUUGGAGGUGAAAUCCCCGGGCUCAACCUGGGAACUGCCUCCAAAACUGCAUGACUAGAGUACGGUAGAGGGUAGUGGAAUUUCCUGUGUAGCGGUGAAAUGCGUAGAUAUAGGAAGGAACACCAGUGGCGAAGGCGACUACCUGGACUGAUACUGACACUGAGGUGCGAAAGCGUGGGGAGCAAACAGGAUUAGAAACCCUGGUAGUCC